rnacentral:rRNA from 1 species
UCGGACGGGUGGGUAACGCGUGAGGAUCUGCCCUUAGGUGGGGGAUAACGGUUGGAAACGACCGCUAAUACCGCAUAUGCCGAGAGGUGAAAGAUUAAUUGCCUGAGGAUGAGCUCGCGUCCGAUUAGCUAGUUGGUGAGGUAAGGGCUCACCAAGGCGACGAUCGGUAGCUGGUCUGAGAGGAUGACCAGUCACACUGGGACUGAGACACGGCCCAGACUCCUACGGGAGGCAGCAGUGGGGAAUUUUCCGCAAUGGGCGAAAGCCUGACGGAGCAAGACCGCGUGAGGGAAGAAGGUCUGUGGAUUGUAAACCUCUUUUGAUAGGGAAGAAGAACUGACGGUACCUAUCGAAUCAGCCUCGGCUAACUCCGUGCCAGCAGCCGCGGUAAUACGGAGGAGGCAAGCGUUAUCCGGAUUUAUUGGGCGUAAAGCGUCCGUAGGUGGUUGGUCAAGUCUGCUGUUAAAGAGUGGAGCUUAACUCCAUAAGGGCGGUGGAAACUGGUCAGCUAGAGUGCGAUAGGGGCAAGGGGAAUUCCCAGUGUAGCGGUGAAAUGCGUAGAUAUUGGGAAGAACACCGGUGGCGAAAGCGCCUUGCUGGGUCUGCACUGACACUGAGGGACGAAAGCUAGGGGAGCGAAAGGGAUUAGAUACCCCUGUUAGUCAUAACUCUUC